rnacentral:rRNA from 1 species
UACGUAGGGUGCGAGCGUUGUCCGGAAUUAUUGGGCGUAAAGGGCUCGUAGGCGGUUUGUCGCGUCGGGAGUGAAAACCUUGGGCUUAACUCAGGGCUUGCUUUCGAUACGGGCAGACUAGAGGUAUGCAGGGGAGAACGGAAUUCCUGGUGUAGCGGUGAAAUGCGCAGAUAUCAGGAGGAACACCGGUGGCGAAGGCGGCGUCCUGGACCAACACUGACACUGAUGAGCGAAAGCCAGGGGAGCAAACGGG